UAUUCAAAUUAGUUAUUAUGUAAAUGCCCUUGGUUUUUCUCUGAGCUUAUUAACAAUUGUUAAAUGACUUAGUGCAUGCCUUGUUUCUUUUCAUGUUAAAACAAGUUCUAUUCUAGAAAAUUUUAGUUAAAUGAAUUUAAGUUAUAAAUUUUUUUGUUUCAGUUAUGCAUUUAACUAGGUGUUACAAUUUCCCCCCUGACAGAACCAAGAUGUAACCGAUGCCAUUCAGAAUAUUGUUGCUGCCUAUGAUUGUAGGAUUGUUGAGGGUGUUCGUAGCCACCAAAUGAAGUAGUUUGUGAUUGAUGCAAAUAAGGUUGUGCUAAAUGUAUCUAAUCCGGAUACUAGGGUUGAUGAUGCGGAGUUUGAAGAAAAUGAAGUUUAUGCAAUUGAUAUUGUAGCCAGCACCGGAGAAGGAAAGUUUAUUCCGUAAACAUUAGUCAGAUCUUGACUUUGAGUCGGAUCCAUGGCCAACAAUCUCUGACAGUGCUAAAGAUUUGGUAAAACUGAUGUUGGAUAGAGACCCUAAGAAUAGAAUCUCUGCUCAUAAUGUCUUAUGUCAUCCUUGGAUUGUUGAUGCCUUUGUCCUAUGCUGUUUUGACAUGCUUAAAGUAUUUCUUGGCGAUGAAUAAACUUAAGAAGAUGGCAUUACGUGAAAUAUUAUUUUUAAUUUUGUAUUUAUACAAAUACCUUCCUGAACCGAAUGACAUCAAAGUUCUGGAUCUUGCCUAUUCAAUUUAUUUGAAGUUUGAAGAAUAUCCCAAUGCUCUUCGAAUUGCAUUGUUCAUGGAUAAGCUGCAGGUGUGACACUGGAAUUUUGUCAGUCUGUCUUUAAAAGUAUUUCUUUAACUGUGGUAUGUGAUUCUUUUAAAAUCUUGUUUUUUUGUCAAUUCUACGAGGCCUUAAGAAAAGUAAUUUCUAUAUUUUGUUCCGCAAAUGCUUGUGGUUUGGAACUGAUGAGUUGCAUUAUUGUUGAUAUUAUGCAAAGAAGGUGUUUACUUCUUGCAAUGAUGUGCAUCAAAAGAAGCAAUUCUGUUACAUUAUUGUACGUCAUGGAAUUGCUUUUGCACUCGACAUAGAAAUGGCUGGAAAUGAAGACGACAGAGAAAUGUUGCAGGAUAUUUUAUACAGUUCUAAGUUAAGUGAAUGAUAUCUAGCUCUUGCUCGUGAACUUGAAGUCAUGGAGGCCAAGUCCCAUAUGGAUAUGAAAGAUGUGUAUGGCAUGAAAUAAAUAAAUGUUUUUUUUGGGGAUAUGCAGUAUAAAAGUCACUUAGAACCUGAAUGUUUAUCAUCAUUGACACUUUCGACGCAUUUCGAACUGCCCAACAAGUGGUAUCAGAGUCAUGGUUAGACUCGUCAAAACCGCGAAAACAAUUGCUUCUCCAGGGCGUGGUAUUUUGGCCAUGGAUGAAUUCAAUGCUACAUGUGGAAAGCGGUUGGAUUCAAUUGGACUAGAGAACACCGAAGCUAACCGUCAAGCAUGGCGUAAAAUUAUAUAUGAAGAAAGUGUUAUAACUUAGUUAAAAUAUAAUUUUUAUGUGUAUGAUUUUAUAAUACUUGAAAUAUUA